rnacentral:rRNA from 1 species
GUGGGGAAUUUUGGACAAUGGGCGCAAGCCUGAUCCAGCAAUGCCGCGUGCAGGAAGAAGGCCUUCGGGUUGUAAACUGCUUUUGUACGGAACGAAACGGUCCGGGUUAAUACCCUGGGCUAAUGACGGUACCGUAAGAAUAAGCACCGGCUAACUACGUGCCAGCAGCCGCGGUAAUACGUAGGGUGAAAGCGUUAAUCGGAAUUACUGGGCGUAAAGCGUGCGCAAGCGGUUUUGUAAGACAGGCGUGAAAUCCCCGGGCUCAACCUGGGAAUUGCGCUUGGGACUGCAAGGCUGGAGUGCAGCAGAGGGGGAUGGAAUUCCGAGUGUAGCAGUGAAAUGCGUAGAUAUGCGGAGGAACACCGAUGGCGAAGGCAAUCCCCUGGGCCUGCACUGACGCUCAUGCACGAAAGCGUGGGGAGCAAACAGGAUUAGAAACCCUAGUAGUCC